rnacentral:rRNA from 1 species
CUUAACACAUGCAAGUCGAGGGGCAGCAUGGUCUUAGCUUGCUAAGGCCGAUGGCGACCGGCGCACGGGUGAGUAACACGUAUCCAACCUGCCGUCUACUCUUGGACAGCCUUCUGAAAGGAAGAUUAAUACAAGAUGGCAUCAUGAGUCCGCAUGUUCACAUGAUUAAAGGUAUUCCGGUAGACGAUGGGGAUGCGUUCCAUUAGAUAGUAGGCGGGGUAACGGCCCACCUAGUCUUCGAUGGAUAGGGGUUCUGAGAGGAAGAUCCCCCACAUUGGAACUGAGACACGGUCCAAACUCCUACGGGAGGCAGCAGUGAGGAAUAUUGGUCAAUGGGCGAGAGCCUGAACCAGCCAAGUAGCGUGAAGGAUGACUGCCCUAUGGGUUGUAAACUUCUUUUAUAAAGGAAUAAAGUCGGGUAUGGAUACCCGUUUGCAUGUACUUUAUGAAUAAGGAUCGGCUAACUCCGUGCCAGCAGCCGCGGUAAUACGGAGGAUCCGAGCGUUAUCCGGAUUUAUUGGGUUUAAAGGGAGCGUAGAUGGAUGUUUAAGUCAGUUGUGAAAGUUUGCGGCUCAACCGUAAAAUUGCAGUUGAUACUGGAUAUCUUGAGUGCAGUUGAGGCAGGCGGAAUUCGUGGUGUAGCGGUGAAAUGCUUAGAUAUCACGAAGAACUCCGAUUGCGAAGGCAGCCUGCUAAGCUGCAACUGACAUUGAGGCUCGAAAGUGUGGGUACCAAACAGGAUUAGAUACCCUGGUAGUCCACACGGUAAACGAUGAAUACUCGCUGUUUGCGAUAUACGGCAAGCGGCCAAGCGAAAGCGUUAAGUAUUCCACCUGGGGAGUACGCCGGCAACGGUGAAACUCAAAGGAAUUGGCGGGGGCCCGCACAAGCGGAGGAACAUGUGGUUUAAUUCGAUGAUACGCGAGGAACCUUACCCGGGCUUAAAUUGCAGAUGAAUUACGGUGAAAGCCGUAAGCCGCAAGGCAUCUGUGAAGGUGCUGCAUGGUUGUCGUCAGCUCGUGCCGUGAGGUGUCGGCUUAAGUGCCAUAACGAGCGCAACCCUUGUUGUCAGUUACUAACAGGUUCCGCUGAGGACUCUGACAAGACUGCCAUCGUAAGAUGUGAGGAAGGUGGGGAUGACGUCAAAUCAGCACGGCCCUUACGUCCGGGGCUACACACGUGUUACAAUGGGGGGUACAGAGGGCCGCUACCACGCGAGUGGAUGCCAAUCCCAAAAACCUCUCUCAGUUCGGACUGGAGUCUGCAACCCGACUCCACGAAGCUGGAUUCGCUAGUAAUCGCGCAUCAGCCACGGCGCGGUGAAUACGUUCCCGGGCCUUGUACACACCGCCCGUCAAGCCAUGGGAGCCGGGGGUACCUGAAGUGCGUAACCGCGAGGAGCGCCCUAGGGUAAAACUGGUGACUGGGGCUAAGA